rnacentral:rRNA from 1 species
GCCGGCGAGUGGCGAACGGGUGAGGAAUGCGUCGGGACGCGCCGAUCAGAGGGGGAUAACUGCCUGAAAGGGUGGCUAAUACCGCAUAUUCUCUGAGGAGGAAAGCGGGGGACCGCAAGGCCUCGCGCUGAUUGAGCGGCCGACGCCGGAUUAGCUGGUUGGCGGGGUAAAGGCCCACCAAGGCGAUGAUCCGUAGCGGGUCUGAGAGGAUGAUCCGCCACAUUGGGACUGAGACACGGCCCAGACUCC